rnacentral:miRNA from 1 species
UUGAAGGAGUUGUAAGAAAUGUUUGAAGAAACUGAUUUAAUGUUAAACAACGAGUCAGUUUCCUCAAACAUUUCUUACAAAUCUUUCAA